AGAAAAUUAUUUUAAUAUUUUUAUUAUCUGUUUGGAUAAAUAUAAUAUAUAUGAGAUUAAAAUCUAAAAGAAGCAACCAAAUAACUCUACUCUUAUUUUUGUUUUAUCUCAAUAACAUUAUUAUAUCACGUUCGAAAAUUAUUUUGUAUUAUAUAUUGAAAAACGUAUAACUUCAUAUAUCCCAUUAUGAACUACUUUUCUUUUAGACAAGAAGGCGAUAAUAAUUAAUUUAAUCUAUCGCGUCAAGAACAGAUUCAAUGACAUGCCUUGAGAGCAGAAAAAGAUAUGUCAAAGUAAAACAGCCGUGAAUGCGUUUCGCCUCGCUUUCUAUCGAGCUUCACCAUGAUAUCUUAGUCGACUUUUGUUCCUUCGUUUCGGUUAGAAUUUUCCCAAUCUCCCAAACCGACACCAAAAAGAAAAAAAGAAAAAAAAACAAUACGUACGUAUCUAAAACGUAUCUAAAACGCAAGGAAUUCCUCGCUUCGCAUGGCGCGUCGCCGCGGGCGCGAAUCGCCGUAAAUCGUAAUAUAUAAAACCUAAUUAGAAAGAGAUUAAUAAGCCCAAUUAUUACGCGCAAGACUCGAGUUAGACCUGAUUAAAAGCUGUAUAAGUAAACACAAAGACCGAUUCGUAAAAAGCAUUUUAAGACGCUUCACCUACGUACUCUUUUGUGUAUAUAUAAUCUAUAUAUGUAUACAUAUAUAAUAUUUUUGCUUACUUAUAUCCCAAAUCUACGAAAUUUUUAUCUCUCCCACCCACACGCUUGUUCUCUUUCUCUCUCGUAUGGUCACGUUUCUCGACUUUUCAUCUCGUCUUUUAUUUAUUUUUUCUUCCUUUUGUUUCUCAUAAAGUUUUUCGCAUCGACGCGGCGGACACGCGAGUCUACGCGUUUCACGCGACAGCUUCGUAUAGUCGGUCUUGUCUCUUCUCGAAUUCUUUUGCUCCUUUUUCUCUUCCCUCAUUUUAAUAUCCAUUACUUUUUGACAUAUCUCUAUCUGUGUGUGACUCGCUAUGAUCUAUAAUCGUGGCAGCCAGCCGAAUGAUUUCGCGCAGACGCUCUGCGUCGCCCUCCCGUUUAUCGUUGCCGCGGCUUUCGCGAAUCAUUCGGACGAUUAUAAAGAUCCUCCUCCGUUCCCUCGCAUUAUCCCCAAACCCUCUUUCGUUCCCCGUCUCUGUUUCUUCUCCGUGUUAUUUUUGUGUUUUCACGCAUUUUAAAUCGUUUUUUCAAAGGCACAUGUAUAUAAUGAAUUACAAAUAUCGUCAGCGCGACGCGGUCGCGCCGUUUUCCCUCCAUCAUAUCGUCGUCGUCGUUGCCGUCGCUCGUCGCUUCUCUUUUUAUCCUUUUACCUUUUUUUUCCCCUUUUCGCUUAAAUUUUGAACAGAGCUAAGCGAGAGUGUGCAAGCCGCCGUAAGUGCGUGCAGACGUAUCGAACGAAGAGAAAACGAGUCGAAUAUCUUGAAAGAAUAUACAACGAAGGAAGAAUAUCCGCGGUUCGAUCAAUAUCCAUCACAUUCCUUACCUAACAUUCUUUUUUUUUCUUUAUUCCUACUCAUUAAUAUGUAAUAAUUAUAUUCACUUAAAUCCAAAUUAAAUCCCAUUAGCGAGGGAAAAUACAAUAACGAGCCUGUAACGUAGUCAAUAUUUUUUCCUCGAUCACAUGGUAUAACGUUUCUUAUAAAUUUCUUCAUUAUGAAAAUAAUCUGAUAAUAAAAAUUCGUACAGUUCGUAACACAUUUAUUUCAAAAAUUAAAGACACGAUUUGUUCAAGAAACAGUUUGAUUUAAAAAAUAUUAAUUGCACGUAUACAAUCAGUUAGUUAUUUAUAUAAAAAAAAGUCAUUGCUGAUGCAUUUAUAUUUUAGAUUUUUAAUAAGUGAAAUUUAUUAUUGAUAGUCCAGAUAUUAUCUUUCCUGUUAAAUUAUAAAAAAUUAGAGGAUCUUUUUUACCUAAUUAAAGUAAAAGAACAACGCUAUUCAUGGAUCGGAGUAUUUUCGAUUAAUAAGCAAAGGAACAAGCUCGGCUCCCAGGAGCAACUUACAGAAACUUGGCACAGCAGUUACGAUAACAGGCGACUUAUCAACAGGAUGUAAAGAAAAAUGAAAAUGUGACGUCUCUUUAUCUUCAUACUUUUCGAUCUUUCAGAUCUGACUCUAACCUAAUUCUAAUUCUUUUCGUAAGAAUUCGUGAAUCUCGGCAAAUUGGUCAAAUCGACGGAAUCGUAGAUAUUAAUAUCUUAUGUAUUUUUAGGAUAUAAAAUGGACUAAAGAUCUUAAAGAGAACUGUGUUCUUCUAACAUACUUCACGUGUAAAUUUUAAUUCUGUCUUUCUAUUUCCAUCUUAUUUAAAAUUGGAAUUAAAACUUGAAUUUGUAACGUAUUUUAAUUUAAAACUAUGAAAAACUAUAUCUACUUUUUAAAUUUCUUAAAUUGCAGUAUAAGAAAAAGAUUCGUUCACCUUUGUUUGAUUUUACACUUUCAAAGAAAUAUGUGAUUUUGAUAUUAUUAUAUUUAAAUCAAGUAAAAUGCGCCUUAAAUUCAAUUUUUGCAAUUAAAAAAAUCCUUCAGCUUGACAUGCAUUUCAAGUUUAAUGACUGAUAUUGACGAAAAUUGCUUGUAUAUGUAUUUUAAAAAUACAUACUUUUAACAAUCCAAAAUUAGAUAAACGUUAUUUGUGUCGAAACGUCAGUACGUUUGCCGUAAAGUUUAAUUGUAAUGAUAAGGCACACGAGGUCUCCUAUGAAAAUAAGGUUUCGAUGCACGAUCCGCGAUUUUUUUUAAUUCGCCGAUUUAAUUGUCUUAUUGACGAAAACUUGAUCGAUUAGAGCCAAGCGAAAGAUAAUAUCGAUUUCGGACAGAAAUAACCGUGUCGCGUCGCUAUCUGCAAGUUUCUUAUUCCCCACAUUUUUUCCCACACAAAUCACUUUUGCCAUUUUCUUUUUACCGAACGAUAUCUCACUCCUCUCCUCCGAUUUUAUCACUAUAAUUAUCACUUUCGUUGCUGUCCACACGACAAUUCUUUUCGCUGGCACUCUCAUUCUUGCCUUCGAUCUAUCUUCUCUAUUUAUAUUCCUUUUUAUAUUCUCUACACACCUCUUCGGAUCGGCGCGACCACAAAUUCUCGCGGGAAAAGAAAAACGCCCUAGGCGCGCGCUCCCUUCCUUUCCUCUUAGAAAAAACAUAGAAAAAAGAGUCGUUAAGAGCUAGGACCUACCUAAUAGUACUCUUAUGUUACUAAUAAUCUAAUAAUCUCCGUCGAUGACGGCGGUCCGUUGGCGUUACCCCUCACGAGACACGUCUCGAGCACUGCAGUGUUUCGCUUUUACAGCCAGUUUCCAAUCCGCUUCUUAAUCGUACUUCUCUCUCGACCGCCGCCAUUUCAUCAAGGCCUCGUGAGGCAGUAGUAUUAUCAAUUAUCAUUCAAUAACUAUGUAUCAUCGAUCCAUAAUCAUAUUUAUCAAUUAACUUCUAUCGUUUACCAUGUCACCGCUCUCUUCAACUGCUACACGUAAACGUCAUCAUCGUCGACCACGUCUCAUUCUUCUCUUCUCGUCGUCAUCAACAUUAUACCCAUACGAUACGCUUCACGUUAUUUAUCAAUUUACGAUCUUCGGCCCUGGCUCUUCGUCUGUCUUUCCUCAUUAAACAUCCAGCAAUCGACGAACGAGUGAAUGUUGACACCCUCGAUCGAAAUCGUCUCGCUCUCACACACCCUUUCUCUUUCUCUCGCUGAGAUCUCCUCUUACUUCUCUUUCUAUUUUUCUUUUCUGAUGCCUUAAUCUUUUUGUUCGCUUACUAUAUGAUACGCAUCAGCAUGCGGCCACUAUCGAUCGACCGGACGAAGUCUGGGGAGUAAAACACUAUCGUCGAUGAUUUCCAAAAAGAAGGAAAACCACGCGGAUCGCGUCGGUUCUAGUAGCUCGGGACCGAAAGGAUAGAUUAGUAAUAGUUAUUGCACUUGGACGGAAGAUGAGUCCUUCUGGCCUACGAUCUGACUCCAAGUUGUGGAGCUGAUACCAUCCAGGAAGUCAAGUCAAAGUUCUUCCGCUUUCAUACGGCCAAAGAAAAUUAUGUUAAAUUUUGUGGCACUUCUGCUUCUUUUCCUAUUUCGACAUACAUUCAGUGUCGAAACAAAAAAAGAAACACAAUUGCGAAUCAAAUCUAAUUUUUUGUUAUCAAAUAAAAUACACAUCAACAAUUUCCUAAAAAUCCUAAAGAUUUAGUGCGUUCAAUAAUUUAUUAUUAUUUUCAAAAAUAAAAAAUAUCUUAUUUCUUCAGUAAUUAAAACUCAAAGACAAUCCGAACUUAUUGAAGAACUUUGUUAAAAAUUUAAAGCAUUAUGAGUUUCCUGGAUGCGUAUUAUUGUCUAAGGAUUCCUCCGUAUGAAGUAGAGAGUGCAAGGACUGUAACUGAUAUUGUCUGUAUAUUAAAAAAAGUUCAAUUUUGAGGCUAAAAUAUUAUACAAUAUAAAACAAUGUAUCUUAUAACGUAAAUCUAAUUUAUAAAUUUCUCAAAAGAUUUGCAAAGCAUAGAAGAUGAGAUAUUUUUAUAAACUUCAGAUAAGAGAGUUGCAUGAUUUUGACAGUGUACUGAAAAAUCCAUCAAAGCAAUGAAUUUCUGGACUAUAACUAAAAAUUCUUAGAAAUG